rnacentral:tRNA from 2 species
UGGUGUUUAACUCAGUUGGUAGAGUGUUGUAUUUACGCUACAAAGGUCAAAAGUUCGAAUCCUUUAACACCAA